CGCGGGAUAAAGCAGAUGGUAGCUCGGGUGGCUCAUAACUAUCAGGUCGCCGGUUCGAGUCCGGUUUCUACAA
rnacentral:tRNA from 1 species